GGGCCGCUAGCUCAGUCGGUAGAGCAGCAGACUUUUAAUCUGCAGGCCGAGGGUUCGAUUCCCUCGCGGCUCACCA
rnacentral:tRNA from 1 species